UGAGGAAUAUUGGGCAAUGGGGGGAACCCUGACCCAGCCAUGCCGCGUGAGUGAAGAAGGUUUUCGAAUUGUAAAGCUCUUUCGGGUGUGACGAUGAUGACGGUAGCACCUAAAGAAGCCCCGGCAAACUUCGUGCCAGCAGCCGCGGUAAUACGAAGGGGGCAAGCGUUGUUCGGAAUUACUGGGCGUAAAGGGUGUGUAGGUUGACGUGUAAGAUAGCGGUGAAAUGCCGGGGCUCAACCUCGGAAUUGCCAUUAUAACUAUGCGUCUAGAAUUAUAGAGAGGAUAGCGGAAUACCCAGUGUAGAGGUGAAAUUCGUAGAUAUUGGGUAGAACACCAGUGGCGAAGGCGGCUAUCUGGCUAUAUAUUGACACUGAGGCACGAAAGCAUGGGGAUCAAACAGGAUUAGAUACCC
rnacentral:rRNA from 1 species